rnacentral:SRP_RNA from 1 species
CGUACUAACCGGGGUUGUAGCGGCACCCUGUACCCAUAAUCCGCUAUAAUGGGGGUGAAUGCUUAAUCGAGGGCUGUCUGUUGUCAGUCAGAGCGGUAUUUUAAGUGUGUUGACGGUUCGGUCCUGUGCAACAAGGUGCUGUGAACCUCGUCAGGUCAGUGAUGAAGCAGCGAUAAGCAGAUUUCCUUUGUGUGCCGCAGGAGUGCCGGGCCUGAGCGCUU